GAUGAACGCUGGCGGCGUGCCUAAUACAUGCAAGUCGAGCGAACAGAUGAGGAGCUUGCUCCUCUGACGUUAGCGGCGGACGGGUGAGUAACACGUGGAUAACCUACCUAUAAGACUGGGAUAACUUCGGGAAACCGGAGCUAAUACCGGAUAAUAUAUUGAACCGCAUGGUUCAAUAGUGAAAGACGGUUUUGCUGUCACUUAUAGAUGGAUCCGCGCCGCAUUAGCUAGUUGGUAAGGUAACGGCUUACCAAGGCAACGAUGCGUAGCCGACCUGAGAGGGGGAUCGGCAACACGGGAACGGAGACAGGGUCAAGACUCCUACGGGAGGCAGAAGAAGGGAAUCUUCCGCAAUGGGGGAAAGCCUGACGGGGAAACGCCGCGUGAGUGAUGAAGGUCUUCGGAUCGUAAAACUCUGUUAUUAGGGAAGAACAAAUGUGUAAGUAACUAUGCACGUCGUGACGGUACCUAAUCAGAAAGCCACGGCUAAUUACGUG
rnacentral:rRNA from 1 species